rnacentral:rRNA from 1 species
UUGAACGCUGGCGGUAGGCUUAACACAUGCAAGUCGUGCGAGAAAGUAUCUUCGGAUAUGAGUAGAGCGGCGGACGGGUGAGUAACGCGUAGGAAUCUACCUAGUAGAAGGGGGAUAGCCCGGGGAAACCCGGAUUAAUACCGUAUACCUCCUUCGGGAGAAAGAAGGCCUCUCUUUGAAGCUUUCGCUACUAGAUGAGCCUGCGUAAGAUUAGCUUGUUGGUGGGGUAAUGGCCUACCAAGGCAACGAUCAGUAGCUGGUCUGAGAGGAUGAUCAGCCACAUUGGGACUGAGACACGGCCCAAACUCCUACGGAAGGCAGCAGUGGGGAAUCUUGC